rnacentral:rRNA from 1 species
GCAUCAUGUGUUGGUUAAAGCAGGGGACCGCAAGGCCUUGCGAUAUGAGAUGAGUUUGCGUAGCAUCAGCUAGUUGGUAGGGUAAUGGCCUACCAAGGCUAAGACGCUUAGCUGGUCUGAGAGGACGAUCAGCAACACUGGGACUGAGACACUGCCCAGACUCCUACGGGAGGCUGCAGUCGAGAAUAUUUAGCAAUGGACGAAAGUCUGACUAUGCGACGCCGCGUGAGGGAUGAAGGAUUUCGGUUCGUAAACCUCUUUUGGCAGGGAAGAAAACAUUCCAUCUAAUACAUGGAAAACUGACGGUACCUGCAGAAUAAGCCACGGCUAACUCCGUGCCAGCAGCCGCGGUAAUACGGAGGUGGCAAGCGUUACUCGGAAUUAUUGGGUGUAAAGGGCAAGUAGGCGGUCUAUUAAGUGGGGGGUGAAAUACUCCGGCUCAAUCGGAGAACAGCCUUCCAAACUGAUGGACUUGAGUGUGACAGAGGAAAAUGGAAUUCUCGGUGUAAGGGUGAAAUCUGUAGAUAUCGAGAAGAACACCAGCAGCGAAGGCGAUUUUCUGGGUCACUACUGACGCUAAAUUGCGAAAGCUAGGGGAGCAAACAGAAUUAGAUACUCUGGUAGUCCUAGCCGUAAACGAUGAGCACUAGGUGUUGGCCCCUUUAGGGGUCGGUGCCGCAGCUAACGCAUUAAGUG